GGUAACGGAAAAGACCCGAAAUUCCGAAAAGGGAGAUUCACGUCUGCUCGCGCCUCUGCUCGGCACCUGUCGCGUUUGGACGGCCAUUUGUGCCCCCGUUUGUGCGCAAGCUCAAGCGGUCGGGUCUGGUUGCCGGCGCGCGGGUUGUCCGAGCCGCGGCGGACCGCACUUCUCCCUUAGUAGGACGUCGCGACCCGCCCGUCCGUGGCCUAAGGCUGGGCAAGACGCCUGACGCUCGCCGUUGGCUUUCAGCCAGCGACUGUGCGUCAGACUGCCCGUGCUUCCCGGCCACGGUUUUUCUACGGACGGUAUCGAAUACCGGUGUCGAGUCGCUUCUUCGCGAGGGGGAGAUAAAACACCCUCUCGUACGGAAGCGCCCUAGGCAGAGGGCAAGGUUUUUCCGAGUCUCUAAAAACGUAAGUUUUGAAGUCAAGACGUUUGUUUUCUGUUCGUCUGGCGGAGCUCGGGCCUGUUGGUUCUCUUGGUCUUUGGGCAGGCUCAUUCCCAUUGCGCGGAGAAAGGCACCAGUCAGCGGCGAUCUAGUUUUGGGCUCUUUUCCGACCCGUCUUGAAACACGGACCAAGGAGUUUAGCGUGCUCGCGAGUCAUUGGGCGUUACAAAACCUAAAGGCGAAAUGAAAGUAAAGAGAGUCCCUUUUUCUCGUGGCUCUCGAGGGAGGAUGAGCUACUGCUCUGGUCGUUCCUAACCGGCGGCUGAGCGUGUCUCCGCACUCCCGGGGCGACUCUUUCUCAUUGCGAGUGGAGGCGCACCAAGAGCGAGUACGCUGAAACCCGAAAGAUGGUGAACUAUGCCUGGCCAGGACGAAGCCAGGGGAAACCCUGGUGGAGGUCCGCAGCGAUUCUGACGUGCAAAUCGAUCGUCGGAGCUGGGUAUAGGGGCGAAAGACCAAUCGAACCAUCUAGUAGCUGGUUCCCUCUGAAGUUUCCCUCAGGAUAGCUUGCGCUCGGGUGUGAAGAGUCUCAUCCGGUAGAGCGAAUGAUUAGAGGCCUUGGGGUCGAAACGACCUCAACCUAUUCUCAAACUCCAAAUAGAUGAGAACCCCGGCUUGCUUGAAUUUUCCAUGUGUGUUGAAGCCGCGGGACUCGGAUCAGAGUGCCAAGUGGGCCAAUUUUGGUAAGCAGA
rnacentral:rRNA from 1 species